UACCACUGAGCUAAAUCCCCAACCCCCAAAGAACCUUUCUAAACAGGUCCACUUCCCACAUAGCCUUUCAUUCCCACUACCUCUGGGGGGGGGGGGUGGCUACAAGGGAGGUUAAAGUGUUUAAGAACCGUCAUGGAAAAUAGGAUUUGAAAAAAAAUUAAAAUUACAGGUCUCUACCCACUAAAAGCCUGUAGCAUGCCAUUCCAGCUGUGGCAACUAGAAAUGUCUUCAGAUAGUGCCAAAUAUCCCCUAAGGGACAAACUUUCCCCAAUGGAAUCCCCUGUGCUAAGACAAUGAACCCCACAAUGUGCCCAGGAGGAGUGAGUUCUUGGUGGAAAGUGGUAAAAACUUUAUGUUUCUGGUCCAGCUGAUGGGGUCAAGCAGAGACAGCUUGAGAGACAUGGAGACUAAAGGGACUAUACAGACAGAAACCCGGGACCUCAUGGAUUUGGCGAGCAAGGCUUUGUAGUUCCCAAGCUGCAGUUCUGAAGCCUGGGAGUGUGUCCCUCAUCACCCAGCAGCCCUCGGUGAGCAGCUCUUUCCCUUUAAUGGAGCCAAGUCCAGGCCAUGUCCAGUGUUACUCAACACAGCACACAACAACCUUAGCAUCCAGUGGCAGAUUGCAUUCAGAGUUUUAAUGGGCAUCUGGGAGAGAGAUCAAAGUUACCCCACCUAGAAGUCUUCCAGAGUCUGCCUCCUCUGUGGAUCACAGGCAACUGGCCAUUGGUGUGGAGACAGAGGUGAACUCUUCGAGGAACAAUGCUUUUGGAGGUUGCCCCAAGAGAGCCAGGACAAGCUUCCUGAGAUCAGCCUUGCUCUGGUGUGUUGAGUUUGGGUCUAGGCUAGUCAGUGCCAGACCCAGGGAUCUCAGAUGGUGGCUGGCCUGUCUCUCCUCUCUUCUCCCACCGGAGUAUCGCUCUGUGUUGUGCCUCCAUCCUUUCUCUCAACCAGCCCUGACCGCCCGAGACUCCUCGCACACCACUCCCUUGCCGAUUCUCUGUGGAUUCACCCUGGUUUGAGGAGGUGGUAGUCAAAUCAGCACCUCCAUCUAGAGAGGAUGGCGCAGAGUAACUGAAGACACAGAGACAAAAGAUCUGACGUUCUCUCAGCAAGUGUUACAGGCAGAGGCAAGCCAGCCUGAGCAAGGUCACGUUCUGGAGAUGAGGAAAUGGUGGAUCAGAGAGGGAUCCCAACCUUCUGAGGACCGCCCCCUCCGCCCCUAUUCUAGCACCCAUCACAAGGCUGUUGUGAGAUGGUCAGGGAACCGGACUUCAGCUCUGACAGCAGCGCUUGAAGAAACAUCAUUGUGCUUUCUGUCUCCAGCUCUGUUGAGUAUGUAUGUAAUUGGUGAGAAUGGACAGACACAAGGACUACUGUUACUUCUCGAGGCUCCAAUUCCCAAGAAGACAUGGUGUUCAGCUGUAUCUUCGAAGAUGUACCCGUCCAAAGGGAGCUUGGUCUCCACGGGUUAGGCAUGCAGAGAGACACAGAUGUUCACGGACCCCCAACCCACCCGCAAGGCACACUGUCGUAAGUUCUCCGUCCUACCUAUAGAGCGACGGCUUGCCUUUAUUUAUUGCACUUGGAACCCUCCAAGGUUUCUUUUCUGACUUGAUCUCAUUUGCAUCUCAAAAAGAGAGAGAGAACAAGUUUGACUCCAAUUUUACCAGAGAGGAAACUGAAUCAUGUCCUUCCCAAACCCCCAGGAUACGAACCUUAGACUGGGGGCAGUGUUAGAGAAGGUGCCUUAAAAGAAGUAAUUACAUGAAAAUGGGGUCACUGGGGUGAGCUCUAAUCCAAUCUGACUGGUGUCUUUAUACAGAGAGAUUAGAGCACAAAUACAAACACCCAGGCAAGAUCACAUGAUCACACAGCGAGAGAUUCCUGCAAAGACAAGAGGGAGGCAGGCCCAGAAGAAGCCAACCUCUCCCCACCCUUUUGUCCACAAGUCUUGGUUUUCAGUACGGGAAGAAAACUCUAUUUUAAGCCACCUGAUCCUCGGUAUUUUAUCAUGGCUGCCAUGCGGACUACUACGGAUUCCCAGGUUCUGAAACUUCCCCAAGGUCUCACGCUUAGCGAGAGCCAGAGUGAACAUCAGUUCUCAAGUCUUACACCUUGUAAAUCCCUUAUGGAAUAAAAUAUUUUACAUAUGGAAACCAGUUCUGCCGCGUAGCUGGCGAUGUGCAGUGGCUCUCACUGACUGCCACGCUGUUUGAAUCGUAUUUAUAGCAAAAUGUCUCUACGCACGGGGGAAGGCGGUCCAGGGCUGCUGCCCUGUUCCGCGUAGUCCAUCCAUGGGAACGCUAAGGAAAGCUGUUUAUCUGUCCUGGUUUGUCCAGUGUCCAGUGUCUCAGCACCGGAAGGAGAAUGACAAGGUAAUAAACAAACAACCUGCUAUAUUCUGACAGAGCCAAGGCCAGUGAGAACAGCCUUCUGGCCAGCACACUUACACCCCCAGCACCCUCCCUACCCUGGGAGCCAGGCUCUGAUGUUGCUCUGUCCACUGCCUCUUGGUGACUCCAGUCUGUGGUCUUUUGCUUUGCAUUGGGACACGGAACUGAAACUCGGAUGUGAGCAGAGUUUUACAUGAGGAACCCAUUUCUCUCUUUCCUCCUUGCCUUGGGUUGGAGGCUCCAAACUGGGCUUAACCCCGGGAGGAAUGUUCUCAAACCACAAGGAACAAGACUUCCUCUGGCACAGAGUGGCCCCAGAAUGGGUGGCUGAGGAUCCCCUGUAUAUGGGCCCCAUCGUCCCCUCUCUGCCUACAGGGCUGUAGCUACAUUUGUCCUUCCUGGGAGUGAGGUAGGGGCAGGGAGUGAAGGCUGACUUUCCCAGCAGGCGGACAUCUAGCUAUCUGGCUAAGAUAGUAACUGUUGAAAGUGACAGUGACAUAGUCCAUACUCACAGACUCAACAGCAUGCUCCCUUUCGGGUUCUGGAGCCGGGCUCUGUCCUGCUUAAGGUCUACCAGACAUAAUGACAUUGCAUCCUGCCUGUCCCUAGGUCCAAAAGCUAAGGGUUCUGAGGACUCACGUUCUUGCUCAUUCAUUUAGAAAACGGGUUGGAUUCAUGAGAAGUCUGGGUGGCAUCUUCUUAUUGACAUCUUUGUAGCCUUCAGGAAGAUCAUUGGAUCCAUAUCAACAAACGCAUACACUUGGCAAUCGUCCCAAUAUACCAAUAAAAGCCAAUUUCCAAUCUGUGAUCUCCAUGCCAAGCGGUAGAGUUGGACCCUUGCCAGGACUAUGGCACGGUGACCCUGGAGUUGUGGGAAUCUUUUUUUUUUUUUUUUUGGUUCUUUUUUUUCCGGAGCUGGGGACCGAACCCAGGGCCUUGCGCUUCCUAGGUAAGCACUCUACCACUGAGCUAAAUCCCAUUUUCAUGAUUUCCACAGGAGAACUGCUCCGGCUCCCGGCGUCCCACAGCAGAGUACUUGUGUUUUCCAUUUGCUCCAAGUCUCUAGCUGUGUCUUAGGGAGGUGAUGGUGGCGUUGGCAAUGGAAUCAAGGGCCUUGACAAGUAAGUGUGCUCAGAAAGCACGCUACCAUCAAGUGAACUGCCUUUUGAACCCCACCCCACUAGACUUAUCAUCAAAGCUCCAGCAACGUUUCCAGCCAUACACGCAUGGGGACAGCUUCCUGAGGAAGAGUCCCCCAGAUUCAGGCCAGCAACGCAUCUGGAAGAAAGGGAGCAAACCAGGGCUGCUUUCUUCUGACUCAGCCCACCUGAGGGGGGUCGCAGAAGGGAGGCACCUGGAAGCCAGCAGUCGCCCAGGAAGAGGUCUGCUCCUGGAAAGUCUUCAAAGCCAGGUGAAGUGUAGCAUCCUGAAGGAAAAAGGAGGGCCGGGCAGUGGGCCACUCCGCAGGAAUCAAAGCCAGGGGCAGGGGAGAGGGUGUGGUGGGCUGCUGACAGAAAGAAGUGGCUGGCUGCUCGCUCCAAAGGGGACCUGUUCCCAGCUUGCCACUUGGAUGGCACCUUUCAAAGCCCUUCAGAGACACCAGGACAAAGGGAUGAGAGGCUCCGCAGUGAGGGUGCGGCACCUCCCCGUCUUUGAGCUCAGUGCAGCUACAGAGCCGCCCUUGGCCACUCUGUGCUCCCUCGCUGGUGUCCUUUGAUCCGCCGACUGCUCCAGCAGCCCUUUCGAGGAAGCCAGAGAAGGGGCGCCCAGCUCCCACCGGAGAGGAGGUAGGGUUUCUUUGAAAUGGAAUGACAAUCUUGUUGGCUUAACAGGAAGCUAUCCACCCCAAAGUUGGGUUUGUUUCUCACCUUCCCCCACCAAACCAAGAAGUAGGUCAAGCAGGUCAUUUGCAAGAAAGCGCCCUUCGUUCAAGCGACUCUCAUUCACAGAGAGGCUGGGUGGAUGGGCAUUGGUUGUUAUGUUAGAGGGUGAGAACGUAGUGCAUGCCCAUAGUGCAUGCCCAGACAGAAUGGUUCCUUAGGCAUAGCGUGAGAAGCCAAUGCCUGCCGCCUGCCUUGAAGUGUUCCUUCACAUUGUCUUAACGUUUAUGAGUCCUUUGCGGACCAGACCACACCUUUCUCUCCUGGCUGGUUCUGCUGGUUGUAACAGGUCAUUAAAACAGCUGUUUACAGACUGCUUGACCAUUCCCAUCUUGAACUCUUCCUGGACAGGAGACAGCUGCUCCUGAGUUUACAUGUUAAAUAAUAAAAUAAUAAUAAAUAAUAAUAAUAAUACCACCUUUUCCAGCUAGGCUCAUCUUCCAGAAAACAAAAGGUAGAGCCCUUUAAUAACAUCAUCCAGAUUCAAUUCAAACUAUCGUCUCAAAUUUUGGAGCACCAGCAACUCUGUUUAAUAUUCCAAAAGAAUGAUUUCUGAGACUAAGAGAUUACAGAUUGAGAGAGAAGUACAGUUGCUUGCUGGUCUUGGAGUCGGGAGGUUGAGAUGUGGGUCUGGCCAGUGUGGCAGGAAGAUGACAUCACGGUGGUUCAGGCAAAGUGCCCACAACAUGUCCUUUCUUCCAAAUGUCUCUCCUCAAGAGUAGGAAAUCAACUUCUCAAAAGUCGGGAAGCUCUCAGUGUUUUCUCGGUUAGAGUUGUCAAUAUGAAGCCACACUCACAAUGUGCUGUUUUGGGUUGGUGGCCUGCAGCUAGGACUGACCGCUCUAAAGGCUGUCUGUCGGUCACCUGACUCUGGAAGGCAAGGAGCACAGCUCACAUUUCAGAUACCUGAGGAUCCUGAAGACAGCCAGGUUGAUAAGCCUGAAGAGAGAUACUCCCAGGGUUGACUGGUGACAUGGGGCUGGUGGAUAACAUUCCUCUGCCAUCUAGUGGCGCUGGCCUAUACUUCCCUCUCAGAGAAACUUCUAGGGGCUCCCACACCCCGGCAGAGUGCCUAGAGUUUUAUUUCUUUCAUUCAGGUUGAGUUUUUUAAAUCAGCCAUCCUAAGAGUCAGUGAGACUGUUCAGGAAGUGAGGGCACUUCUUACGGAGCCUGGAUGCCUGAGUUUGAGCCCUGGAGCCACAUGAUCGAAGGAGCACACCUGUCUACUCCACAUGGUAGAGGGAGAGCGCCUGUCUACUCCACAUGGUAGAGGGAGCGCACCUGUCUAGUCCACAUGGUAGACGGAGAGCGCUUGUCUACUCCACAUGGUAGAGGGAGAGCGCCUGUCUAGUCCACAUGGUAGAGGGAGAGCGCCUGUC
rnacentral:sRNA from 1 species